rnacentral:piRNA from 1 species
UAUUGGUGGAUAAAGUCUACAAGGGCAUU